rnacentral:rRNA from 1 species
UGAGCUGUGGAUAGCGGAGAAAUUCCAAUCGAACUCGGAGAUAGCUGGUUCUCCUCGAAAUAGCUUUAGGGCUAGCGUCGGGUAAUUGAGUAGUGGAGGUAGAGCACUGAAUGGGCUAGGGGCUGACAACAGUUACUGAACCCUAUCAAACUCCGAAUGCCAUAUACUUGUACCCCGGCAGUCAGACUACGAAUGAUAAGAUCCGUGGUCAAAAGGGAAACAGCCCAGACCAUCAGCUAAGGGCCCAAAGUGUAAGUUAAGUGGGAAAGGAUGUGGGAUUUCUAAGACAACUAGGAUGUUGGCUUAGAAGCAGCCACUCAUUUAAAGAGUGCGUAAUAGCUCACUAGUCGAGAGAUCCUGCGCCGAAGAUGUAACGGGGCUCAAACUUACCACCGAAGCUAUGGAUGUGUACUUUGUACACGUGGUAGAGGAGCUUUCUGUACAGGUUGAAGUCAUACCGUAAGGAGUGGUGGACAGUACAGAAGUGAGAAUGCUGGCAUAAGUAGCGAAAAACAAGUGAGAAUCUUGUUGACCGAAUAUCUAAGGUUUCCUGGGGAAGGCUCGUCCUCCCAGGGUUAGUCGGGACCUAAGCCGAGGCCGA